rnacentral:rRNA from 1 species
AUUGAACGCUGGCGUCACGCCUAACACAUGCAAGUCGAACGAGUGGCGGACGGGUGAGUAAUGUCUGGGAAACUGCCUGAUGGAGGGGGAUAACUACUGGAAACGGUCGCUAAUACCGCAUACCAUCGGAUGUGCCCAGAUGGGAUUAGCUAGUAGGGGGGGUAAAGGCUCACCUAGGCGACGAUCCCUACCUGGUCUGAGCGGAUGACCAGCCACACGGGAACGUAGACACGGACCAGACUCCUACGGGAGGCAGCAGUGGGGAAUAUUGCACAAUGGGAGAAAGCCUGAUGCAGCCAUGCCGCGUGUAUGAAGAAGGCCUUCGGGUUGUAAAGUACUUUCAGCGGGGAAGCGUUACCCGCAGAAGAAGCACCGGCUAACUCCGGGCCAGCAGCCGCGGUAAUUC